rnacentral:rRNA from 1 species
CAGCCGCCGCGGGAAAACGUAGGGUGCGAGCGUUAAUCGGAAUUACUGGGCGUAAAGCGUGCGCAGGCGGUUCGGAAAGAAAGAUGUGAAAUCCCAGGGCUUAACCUUGGAACUGCAUUUUUAACUACCGGACUAGAGUGUGUCAGAGGGAGGUGGAAUUCCGCGUGUAGCAGUGAAAUGCGUAGGGAUGCGGAGGAACAUCAGUGGCGAAGGCGGCCAUCUGGGACAACACUGACGCUGAGGCACGAAAGCGUGGGGAGCAAACAGGAUUAGAUACCCGAGUAGUCCCUGUCUCUUAUAC